rnacentral:rRNA from 1 species
CACGUAGGGGGCAAGCGUUGUCCGGAUUAUUGGGCGUUAAAGAGCUCGUAGGCGGCUUAGUAAGUCGGGUGUGAAACCUCCAGGCUCAACCUGGAGACGCCACCCGAUACUGCUGUGGCUAGAGUCCGGUAGGGGAGCGUGGAAUUCCUGGUGUAGCGGUGAAAUGACGCAGAUAUCAGGAGGAACACCAGCGGCGAAGGCGGCGCUCUGGGCCGGUACUGACGCUGAGGAGCGAAAGCGUGGGGAGCAAACAGG